AGAGUUUGAUCAUGGCUCAGGAUGAACGCUGGCGGCGUGCCUAAUACAUGCAAGUCGAGCGAACCACUUCGGUGGUGAGCGGCGAACGGGUGAGUAACACGUAGGUGAUCUGCCCAUCAGACGGGGACAACGAUUGGAAACGAUCGCUAAUACCGGAUAGGACGAAAGUUUAAAGGUGCUUCUGGCACCGCUGAUGGAUGAGCUGCGGCGCAUUAGCUAGUUGGUAGGGUAAAGGCCUACCAAGGCGACGAUGCGUAGCCGACCUGAGAGGGUGAACGGCCACACUGGGACUGAGACACGGCCCAGACUCCUACGGGAGGCAGCAGUAGGGAAUCUUCGGCAAUGGGCGAAAGCCUGACCGAGCAACGCCGCGUGAAUGAUGAAGGCCUUCGGGUUGUAAAAUUCUGUUAUAAGGGAAGAACGACUUUAGUAGGAAAUGGCUAGAGUGUGACGGUACCUCAUGAGAAAGCCACGGCUAACUACGUGCCAGCAGCCGCGGUAAUACGUAGGUGGCGAGCGUUAUCCGGAAUUAUUGGGCGUAAAGAGCGCGCAGGUGGUUGAUUAAGUCUGAUAUGAAAGCCCACGGCUUAACCGUGGAGGGUCAUUGGAAACUGGUCGACUUGAGUGCAGAAGAGGGAAGUGGAAUUCCAUGUGUAGCGGUGAAAUGCGUAGAGAUAUGGAGGAACACCAGUGGCGAAGGCGGCUUCCUGGUCUGUAACUGACACUGAGGCGCGAAAGCGUGGGGAGCAAACAGGAUUAGAUACCCUGGUAGUCCACGCCGUAAACGAUGAGUGCUAAGUGUUGGGGGUCGAACCUCAGUGCUGAAGUUAACGCAUUAAGCACUCCGCCUGGGGAGUACGGUCGCAAGACUGAAACUCAAAGGAAUUGACGG
rnacentral:rRNA from 1 species